rnacentral:rRNA from 1 species
UACGUAGGGUGCGAGCGUUAAUCGGAAUUGCUGGGCGUAAAGCGUGCGCAGGCGGCAAUGUAAGACAGAUGUGAAAUCCCCGGGCUCAACCUGGGAACUGCAUUUGUGACUGCAUUGCUGGAGUGCGGCAGAGGGGGAUGGUAUUCCGCGUGUAGCAGUGAAAUGCGUAGAUAUGCGGAGGAACACCGAUGGCGAAGGCAAUCCCCUGGGCCUGCACUGACGCUCAUGCACGAAAGCGUGGGGAGCAAACAGG